CCCAACCACGCAGGAUUUUUCAUUCGCGAGCAUAUAAAUCACUUUUCGUGACUCUUCUGUCGAUGGACACCACUCACACUGGCACCCAAAGUCCUACAAGCGAGCUCCUUUCUUCCAUCGCCAGGUGUCAGUCGACCAGCUUUCCCCUCCAGUCCUAUUAGCCACCCAUAACCUCCAAUGGCCUAGGGCUAAGGAUGUCAUAAUAUGGGGUAUAAAAUGAUGCAUUCUUUCCGAUUUCUUCUUCAAUUCUUCAUUUUUUUGAUUAAAUAGAAAACCAGAGAGAGAGAAUCGAAUUUAGCAGGAAUCUAGUGAGAGAAAGAGAGUAAAAAUUGAGAGAAGAAGAGUGCAAUAAAUAGAGUGAGUGUGUACAUGUGCUGCCUAGAGGAGAAGAUGAUUUCUUAUCUUCUGAGAAAUUGCAAAUUAAACUCAAAAACCAGACUGGCACAGUCACCGCUGCACAGGAAUGAACAAGUGGUGAACUAUCCCAAGUGGUUGGAUUAUACAAUGGAUAUCGAUAUCUGUAGAUGAGGAAGAAAGUGAGGAACCGCAGGCUGACCUACCCUUGGAAGUCUAUGAGGAUCCC